GAAUGGCAUUCAUCCCAAGAUAAGUAGAGCAAAAAUCAUUGAUGAGUAUAGCAAAGAAUGCUACUCGUCCUAAGAUAAGUAGAGCAAAAAUCUCUGGUCAUCUGAGAAGCCAAUGAAGAAGACCUCGAACGACUAUGAGCGAAGAAUACCGCUCGAAUAAAGCAAAAAUCACUGAUGAUUAUAAGUGAAGAAUGUUAUUGGACCCA
rnacentral:lncRNA from 1 species